GCUACAGGUAGAACCAUGAAAGCAAAAAUCUUAUUGGCCACCGUGGAUUACUGCCCCAGUGCAGAGUGUUGGUAGUUGGUCGGAGCGCCCACUCGCUCUCUGUUGGAGAUUUCAGGCUGGCAGGUGUUAGUGCCAGAUUCCUGUCAUAUCUCCUAUUUGUUGUUAUAUGAACCCAACCCUCGACCUUAAAGUAGAACUGCAACACCCAAAUGUAUAUGUUUGUGCCCAUAAAUAAGUGGAGACAGCAGAGCUUGGGGGCAGGGUUGAUGCUUGUUAUCUUUUGCAGUGUCCUUUCUUUUAUACCCCUCAUUGCUCUGAUUGCAGGACUAUGUAUAGUGAAGCCUUCCUGCAUCUUGGCUUUAGUCUGCAUGUUCUAGAAGGGCAAUGAGAGAUGUGGAAGGUCUGAGAGGCUUUAACGGAGGCACAAAGUGGUGACCAACUGCCCCACUGAGCACUUGUGACAUUCAGAUCUCCGUGUCAGGGAUUCCUGGAGUCUCCUGAUUAAAAAAAGUAAUUAUUACGGGAGUUUAUUUCUGUGAGACAAGAGACGUUGUUGCUGCCAUGGAACCAAACAGGACUGUCCUGCCUGUUACUGGGAUGUGAGACUUCAGUCAUGUGACCUUUAUGUGUUACAAUGGGUGCUACCACCUCGGGCACAGACGGGGGAGCACCCUGGUGACCCAGGCAAUCCCGGCAUGAGGAAACCAAUCCUGAAGGGCCCAUCACUGUUGGGGUCUGAAGUGCCUACCCUACCUGCCAGCUGACUGUGCUCCCAGCUUUCCUGGUUCCCUAGAAUAAACCUGAGAUUCUACUGUGAAAGUCACAAACAACCACAAGGUGGUGCUAGAGGGCUACCUACUGUCAGAGAAAUGCUUCACUACC